CCUACGGGCGACAGCAGUGAGGAAUAUUGGUCAAUGGGCGCGAGCCUGAAGCAGCCAAGUAGCGUGAAGGAUGACUGCCCUACGGGUUGUAAACUUCUUUUAUAAAGGAAUAAAGUGAGGCACGUGUGCCUUUUUGUAUGUACUUUAUGAAUAAGGAUCGGCCAACUCCGUGCCAGCAGCCGCGGUAAUACGGAGGAUCCGAGCGUUAUCCGGAUUUAUUCGGUUUAAAGGGAGCGUAGAUGGGUUGUUAAGUCAGUUGUGAAAGUUUGCGGCACAACCGUAAAAUUGCAAUGGAUACUGGCAGACUUGAGUACAGUUGAGGUAGGCGGAAUUCGUGGUGUAGCGGUGAAAUGCGUAGAUAUCACGAGGAACACCGAUUGCGAAGGCAGCCUACUAAACUGCCACUGACGUUGAUGCUCGAAAGUGUGGGUAUCAAACAGGAUUAGAUACCCCAGUAGUC
rnacentral:rRNA from 1 species